CCUACGGGGGGCAGCAGUGAGGAAUAUUGGUCAAUGGACGAGAGUCUGAACCAGCCAAGUAGCGUGAAGGAUGACUGCCCUAUGGGUUGUAAACUUCUUUUAUAAAGGAAUAAAACGAGGCACGUGUGCCUUUUUGCAUGUACUUUAUGAAUAAGGAUCGGCUAACUCCGUGCCAGCAGCCGCGGUAAUACGGAGGAUCCGAGCGUUAUCCGGAUUUAUUGGGUUUAAAGGGAGCGUAGAUGGGUUGUUAAGUCAGUUGUGAAAGUUUGCGGCUCAACCGUAAAAUUGCAAUUGAUACUGGCAGUCGUGAGUACAGUUGAGGUAAGCGGAAUUCGUGGUGUAGCGGUGAAAUGCUUAGAUAUCACGAAGAACCCCGAUUGCGAAGGCAGCUUACUAAACUGUGACUGACAUUGAUGCUCGAAAGUGUGGGUAUCAAACAGGAUUAGAUACCCGGGUAGUC
rnacentral:rRNA from 1 species